rnacentral:rRNA from 1 species
UACAGAGACUGCAAGCGUUAUUCGGAUUCACUGGGCGUAAAGGGUGCGCAGGCGGCCAAGCGUGUGAGGCGUGAAAGCCCGGAGCUUAACUUCGGAAUUGCACCUCAAACUACAUGGCUAGAGCAUUGGAGAGGGUAGCGGAAUUCACGGUGUAGCAGUGAAAUGCGUAGAUAUCGUGAGGAACACCAGAGGCGAAGGCGGCUACCUGGACAAUUGCUGACGCUCAGGCACGAAAGCGUGGGGAGCAAAAGGG